AGUGAACGCUGGCGGUAGGCCUAACACAUGCAAGUCGAACGGCAGCACAUUAAGAGCUUGCUCUUACGGGUGGCGAGUGGCGGACGGGUGUGGAAUACAUCGGACCCUACUUUUUCGUGGGGGCUACCGUAGGGAAACUUACGCAAUUACCGCAUCCGACUUACGGGUGCAUGCAGGGGAUCUUCGGACCUUGCGCGAUUGAAUGAGCCGAUGUCGGAUUAGCUAGUUGGCGGGGUAAAGGCCCACCAAGGCUACGAUCCGUAGCUGGUCGGAGAGGAUGAUCAGCCACACGGGAACGGGAACAGGGUCCAGACUCCUAGGGGGGGAGGCAUGGGGGAAUAUUGGACAAGGGGCGCAAUCCUGAGCCAGCCAUACCGCGUGGGGGAGGAAGGCCUUCGGGUGGUAAAGCCUGUUUGUUGGGAAAGAAAAGCAGCAGGUUAAUACCCCGCUGGUCUGACGGUACCCAAAGAAUAAGCACCGGCUAACUUCGUG
rnacentral:rRNA from 1 species